rnacentral:rRNA from 1 species
GACGAACGCUGGCGGCGUGCUUAACACAUGCAAGUCGAACGGAAAGGCCUCUUUCGGGGGGUACUCGAGUGGCGAACGGGUGAGUAACACGUGAGUAACCUGCCCUUGACUUUGGGAUAACUUCAGGAAACUGGGGCUAAUACCGGAUAGGAGCUCCUGCUGCAUGGUGGGGGUUGGAAAGUUUCGGCGGUUGGGGAUGGACUCGCGGCUUAUCAGCUUGUUGGUGGGGUAGUGGCUUACCAAGGCUUUGACGGGUAGCCGGCCUGAGAGGGUGACCGGCCACAUUGGGACUAAGAUACGGCCCAGACUCCUACGGGAGGCAGCAGUGGGGAAUAUUGCACAAUGGGUGGAAGCCUGAUGCAGCAACGCCGUGUGCGGGAUGACGGCCUUCGGGUUGUAAACCGCUUUCGCUCAUGACGAAGCUUUGUGUGACGGUAGUGGGUAAAGAAGCACCGGCUAACUACGUG